UCCUACGGGGCGCAGCAGUGGGGGAUAUUGCACAAUGGGGGGAACCCUGAUGCAGCGACGCCGCGUGGGUGAAGAAGCGCCUCGGCGCGUAAAGCCCUGUCAGCAGGGAAGAAAAUGACGGUACCUGAAGAAGAAGCCCCGGCUAACUACGUGCCAGCAGCCGCGGUAAUACGUAGGGAGCAAGCGUUAUCCGGAUUUACUGGGUGUAAAGGGUGCGUAGGCGGCCUUGCAAGUCAGAAGUGAAAUCCAUGGGCUUAACCCGUGAACUGCUUUUGAAACUGUAGGGCUUGAGUGAAGUAGAGGCA
rnacentral:rRNA from 1 species